rnacentral:rRNA from 1 species
UGGGGAAUUUUCCGCAAUGGGGGCAACCCUGACGGAGCAACGCCGCGUGCGGGAGGACGGCCUGUGGGUUGUAAACCGCUUUUCUCUAGGAAGAAGUUCUGACGGUACUAGAGGAAUCAGCAUCGGCUAACUCCGUGCCAGCAGCCGCGGUAAGACGGAGGAUGCAAGCGUUAUCCGGAAUUAUUGGGCGUAAAGAGUCCGUAGGCGGCUAGAUAAGUCAGUUGUUAAAGACUGCAGCUCAACUGUGGGCGAGCACCUGAAACUGUUUAGCUAGAGAGCGGUAGGGGUAGAGGGAAUUCCCAGUGUAGCGGUGAAAUGCGUAGAUAUUGGGAAGAACACCAGUGGCGAAGGCGCUCUACUGGGCCGUGACUGACGCUGAGGGACGAAAGCUAGGGGAGCGAAAGGGAUUAGAUACCCCUGUAGUCC